rnacentral:rRNA from 1 species
GACGAACGCUGGCGGCGUGCUUAACACAUGCAAGUCGUACGGUAAGGCCCUUUCGGGGGUACACGAGUGGCGAACGGGUGAGUAACACGUGAGUAACCUGCCCACAACUUUGGGAUAACGCUAGGAAACUGGUGCUAAUACUGGAUAUGUGCUCCUGCUGCAUGGUUGGGGUUGGAAAGCUCCGGCGGUUGUGGAUGGACUCGCGGCCUAUCAGCUUGUUGGGGGGGUAGUGGCCUACCAAGGCGGCGACGGGUAGCCGGCCUGAGAGGGUGACCGGCCACAUUGGGACUGAGAUACGGCCCAGACUCCUACGGGGGGCAGCAGUGGGGAAUAUUGCACAAUGGGCGCAAGCCUGAUGCAGCAACGCCGCGUGCGGGAUGGCGGCCUUCGGGUUGUAAACCGCUUUCAGCAGGGACGAAGCUUUUUGUGACGGUACCUGCAGAAGAAGCACCGGCUAACUACGUG